rnacentral:rRNA from 1 species
AACGAACGCUGGCGGCGUGUUUAAGACAUGCAAGUCGCACGGUGUCAUUUUGGUAGCAAUACUUGAAUGGCAUAGUGGCGCACGGGUGAGUAACACGUGAAUUACAUGCCCUGUAGAGGGGGAUAGCCCAGGGAAACUUGGAUUAAUACCCCAUGGUCUCGCAAGAGUAAAGGUGGCCGCAAGGCUGUCGCUACAGGAUUGGUUCGCGCCCUAUCAGCUAGUUGGCGGGGUAACGGCCCACCAAGGCUACGACGGGUACCUGGUCUGAGAGGACGAUCAGGCACACGGGAACGGAGACACGGUCCAGACACCUACGGGUGGCAGCAGUCGAGAAUAAUUCACAAUGGGGGCAACCCUGAUGGUGCAACGCCGCGUGGAGGAUGACGGUCUGCGGAUUGUAAACUCCUGUCAUCCGGGAGUAAGACCUGGGCAUGAAUAGUGCACAGGGUUGAUAGUACCGGAAGAGGAAGGGACGGCUAACUUCGUGCCAGCAGCCGCCGUAAAAC